UAAACAGUUUUUAGUUAUUAAUUUAUUUGAGUGUUAAUUAUCAAUUUAUUAUAGUUUUUAGGUUAGCAAUAAUAAUUAUUAGGCUUAUUAGAUCUGCAUUUUGCUUUGCAACAGUGAUAAACCAAGCCAGCAAGCAAAAAUUUUGGACAAAUUUGGAUCAUUGAAUUCUAUUGUAUUAUUUGGUUUUUCAUAGUUCCAUUUUACAAAAUCAAAGGAUCUCAAGCAAUAAUUAUUGGACUCAUAUAUUGACAAAACAAGCAAGCAAGCAAAGUUUUUGGAAAAAUUUGACUCAUUGCACCAUAUAGUACAUAUUUGUCUUCUAUAGUUCCAUUUUACAAAAUCAAAGAUGCCAAAAAUGAGUAAAAAGUCUGCUAAGACAAAGAGCCUCCAGAAAAAAGAAAAAUAUUUAUCCAAGAAGCUGGCAAAAAAAGAGAGUGGCACCAAUGACAAAAAUUUAGAAACCUUAGGUAAGGAAGUACAUUUGCAACAAAAGUUGCCCAAAGAUAAGAUUCCAGAGGAUAGUACAAGAAAGGUAAAUUUUAAUAAAACUGUAAUUGAGUCUAAUAAGCGAAAAUCAUUAACGGUUAUUGAUGACAAUGAUGCAUUGUCAUCAAAAACUGUAACUCAGAAAAAACAAAAAGUUAUUGAUUCUUUUAAAAAGCUAUCCCAUACAGAUGAAAUUGAGAAUAAUGAAAAGGAGGCGGAACAUACUAGAACCAAUUGCCCAACAAAGUUUGAACUAGCUUUAAGAGAAGGCCCCACCAUUGUAUGCAGUUGUUGUUUGCGAUUAUGGUUUCCCACUUCAUGUAAAAAAAUAGAUCUACAAGUGCUAAAAAACAAAUUUGGAAACCAAUUCACUACACAAAUUUGCAAUGAUGAUGGGGUUUUCUUCUGCAAGUCUUGCUCAUCAAAUAUUUAUAAAGGACAAUUGCCAAAGUUCUGGUCCGGCAAUCACAAUAUUGUUCACCCUAUACCAGUUGAGCUAAAAGAUCUGACUAUCCUUGAAGAAAGGAUGGUGUCGGCCAGGUUACCUUUCAUGCAAAUCCGGCAGGUAGGAUAUGCACGACAGUGUUACAUAACUGGCCAAAUAGUCAAUGUCCCUAUAAAUAUAGAUACUUCGACCAAAUUAUUGCCUAGAAAUGUAGAGGAGACACAAACUAUUCAGGUUAAGCUCAAGAGAAAAAUGAACUAUAAAAAUGAUUAUCUCCUGGAAACCAUACGGCCCGCAGUUGUUUUAAAAGCAGCAAGAUUUUUGUGUCAACAACCUCUUUACAUACAAGAAGGUAUAAAGCAAUCAGAUGAUUGGGAAAAAAAUAUUAAUGACUAUAUACGAUCUCAAGUAGAAUCCUCUACACAGAUCUUAAAUGAAGGCUCAAAAGUGGUGGACGUGAAUUCUAAAACAGUGUGUAGUGAAAACUUUGAAGAAUUGUUCGAUAAUGCGUUUUUCGAAACAAUGGAAGUGCCCCUAGAAUCUAAGAAUGACGAUAAAAAUAUUCAAGCAGAAUCUUCAAUUGAAAAAAACACCAUAUACAAUUUAGAUGAAUUCUUAGAUGAAGAAGAAGAGCCCUUAAAUCCUGGAGGCCAAGAAACUUUGCUUGACAAAUGUAACCUAGAAAAUAUCUGUUUUGCCCCAGGAGAAGGUAAAACGCCAAUACAUUUGAUGCUUGACCAGUUUAGCGAUGAACUCUCAUUUCCUACACUUUUCUGUGGACAUGCUAAGCAAUUUCUUACAAAAUUCUCCUAUUCUGACCAGACGAAAAUACUACUCCAGCACAAAGACAGGCGAUUUGCAAGGACAGACUAUCUGUUGUAUACCUUUAAAAAACGUCAACUAAUCCAAUUAUCCAGUGCAAUUGCAACAUGUCUCAGGAAAAAGAGGAAUGAGGAUGGAAAAUAUACAGCUGGACAAGUAAAACAAGCAAAUUUUCUAGACCAGCUGAUUCGAAGUGACAUGGGAUUCCAUUUUCUUGGUAAAAUUGCAGGUUCACCUGCUUAUUGGAAACACGAAAAGACAAAAUUACUGUGUAUGAUUCGUCAAUUUGGAAUCCCUACACUGUUCUUUACCGUUUCAGCAGCCGAAACCGCAUGGCCCGAAUUAAUCAAGGUAUUAGCACAAGUUAUUGAUCAAAAAGACGUUACUUUAGAGGAGGCUGCGAGUAUGCCCUACUUAGAAAAAACUCGCUUAAUUAGAACAGAUCCGAUAACUUGUGCCAGAUACUUUGAUUAUCGGUUCAAACUGCUAUUCAAGCAUAUGAAGAGUCAAAAUGGACCCUUUAAACAAAAUCCCAUAGAGCAUCAUUAUUACCGCAUAGAAUUUCAACAUCGUGGGUCUCCUCAUGUUCACGGGUUAUUGUGGUUAUCUAAUGCUCCAAAAUUCCAAGAAACACCAGAAAGUUUCAAAGAGUGUGCCGAAUUCGCGAACCGGUAUAUUACUUGUAAUAGUGAUUUAGAAAGUGUCCGUGAUAUAAUUCAGUUUAAUACGCAUCAUCAUUCUAAAUCGUGUCAAAAAGAAGUGCGGGGACACAAAGUUUGCAGGUAUGGUAUCCCAUUCCUGCCAAUGGAUAAAUCGGUAAUUCUAACGCCAAUAAAAAUUGACAAAACCAAGGAAGCGGAUUUACGUAAGGCCAUGUCUGAAAAGUUUUUGAUGAUAAUGCGUAGGCUUAAAGAUAAACCAGAUUUGUCAUUCGAAAACUUUUUGGCUGACCUUGGUAUGUCUAAGGAUGAGUAUCUUAAUGUUAUACAGCACAACAUAUUUAAAACUACUUUAUUUUUAGAAAGGCAGCCAAAAGAUGGAUUUAUUAACAACUUUAAUGCUGAAAUGUUCUCCAUGAUGAAGAGCAACAUGGACAUUCAAUUAGUUUUUGAGCCAUAUGGUUGUUGUACCUACAUAGUCAACUAUAUCAAUAAGUCUCAAAGAGGUGUAUCUGAUAUUUUAAUGAAGACUAUGGAAGAAAUUAAAAAAGGUAAUUUAGAUGUUAAGGGCAAACUUAAAUCUCUUGCAGCAGCUUUCUUAAAUGCGAGCGAAGUAAGUGCCCAGGAAGCCGCCUACUGUGUGUUACAACUACCGAUGCACGACACCUGUACCUCCUAUGUAUACAUCCAUACAAAUCCAAUCAGGGAAAGGACAAAAAUGUUGAAACCAUUAGCACAACUUAAAGAAAUGGACAAUGACGAUCCCAAUAUUUAUUGUGAUGGUCUUAUAGAACAUUAUGAACAGCGGCCUGAUGAAAUGGAAAACAUAUGUUUAGCAGAGUUUGCGGCCUAUUAUGAUUUCUUUAAGAAACAGGCAGAAACAAAGGCUAACGGUUUACCCUUAAAAGAUGGAAGUGGCGUUUUAGUUAAAAGGGGUCAUGCUAAAAUUUUAGCCUAUCGUAGUUAUGGACUUCAGCAAGACCCUCUUAACUAUUAUAGGGAACAAAUAAUGUUAUACAUCCCAUGGAGAAAUGAAGUGGAUGAAGUUGAAAAUGAUAACAUUGAUCAACAGACCAUAUACAAAGAUCGAUACCAAGAAAUUGUUACAAAUCGACAAAAGUUCAAUGUCUUAGAUGAACAGGUAAUCGACGAAGCACUGAAACUUGCCGAAGACCGAUCAAAUCAAUUAGACGAUGGUGGAUUCGGUGGAGAAAUCGAUGAUGAGUUUAUGCCUUAUGGACUAGACAACCCCAUUUAUGAUCCAUUCAAUCACAUCAUCGAUAAGAAAGACGACGAAGCGCCAGUAAAACAUAUCGCUUUCCCAACGCCUCAUCAGAUAAGCGAUUCAGAGUAUGAAGCCCUCAUAAGCAAACUGAAUCACAAGCAGUAUCAGUUCCUUAAUGUUGUGCAAGACAGUCUAAUUGAAGGGGAACCUUUCUACUGCACACUUAGUGGUCCAGCAGGUACAGGCAAAAGUCACCUGAUUACAGCAAUAACUCAGUCGUUAUUACGCCAUUUCAAUUCAAUACCAGGUAAUAAUCCCGAAAGUUUAAAAGUUUUACUUUGUGCGCCUACAGGUAAAGCGGCAUUUAAUAUCGGAGGUAUAACCUUACAUUCCGCAUUAUCAUUACCUAUCGCUCAGUAUGGUGAACAAUUAAUUCCAUUACACCAUGACACCGUUAAUACUAUUUAUUGUAAUUUAUGUGACUUAAAAUUAAUUAUUAUAGACGAAUAUUCCAUGGUUGGUGCCAGAUUGUUUGACCAUAUUAACAGUAGAUUGCAGCAAAUUUUUAAAUCUGACGCCAUCUUUGGAAAUAUUCCAAUAAUUUUAUGCGGCGAUAAUCGUCAAUUGCCCCCAGUAAUGGAUAUGUAUAUUUUUUGUCCAGUAAAAACAAAUCCGUAUAAAGAAUUAUGUGGAACUUAUUUGUGGGAUCAUUUUAGGUAUUUUGAGCUUACAGAAAUAAUGAGGCAAAAAGAAGACAAGUCUUUUGCAGUUGCCCUAAACAAUAUGGCGUUUGGUAAAAUGACCGACGAAGAUGUAGAGUUGAUCAAGUCCAGGGAAAUUGACAAUAUUGACCUGAUUCCUGAAGACACUAUGCAUUUAUUUGCCACCAAUAGAGAAGUAGAUGCAUUCAAUGAAAUGAAACUUUCUACAUUUCAGACCGAGCGAGCAAUAAGUCAAGCCAGAGACGUAAUCAAAGGAAGUUGCUCAGAACGAUUAAAACAUUUAUUUUUAGAACAUGCUAAAAGUUUAAAAAAAUCAGAGAGUUUUGGCCUAAUGUUAAGUUUAAUAUUGCAGGUAGACGCUAAAUACAUGAUUUCAAUGAAUAUAGAUACCAGUGAUGGGAUAGUAAAUGGUGCAACAGGUAUCCUACGGCAAAUAGACUAUGACCAAAAUAAAGUUCCAUACAGAGUGUGGAUGGAGUUCUUUGAUUCCAAGUCAGGCAAGGAAUGCCGAAAGAGAAACGAGUCCCUUAGGAAGUCUAUGUAUUUAUCACCCACUUGGACACCCAUAGAAAGAGCUGCAAGAGCUGUUAAAGUUCAAAAAGGCAGCAAUGUUCACGUUGAGCGUCUUCAGUUUCCUCUUUUAAUCAGUGAAGGAAUUACAAUCCACAAAAGUCAAGGUGCCACCUAUGAACAAGUAGCUGUUCACAUUGGUAAGGGAAUGACGAGAACCAGUACCUAUGUUGCUUGUAGUCGGGCCACAAAGCUAAGUGGCCUCUACAUCAUUGGUAAGUUUAAGGCCCCUAAACCGGCAACCGAAAAGGAUGCUGCUUAUAAAGAACUGGUAAAUAUGCAAGAAAACAAGCUUUUAACAUCCAAGUAUAACACUCAGUACCUUAAUGAUUCCAAUGUCAAAUACAUUAUUGCUUACCAAAAUGUGCAAAGUCUACCAAAAAAUCUCAAUCUUAUAAAAAAUAAUCCCAUUUUUAAAGAUGCACAUUUCCUAAUUUUUGUUGAAACCUGGUUAUAUAAAAACAAAAAAAAUAUAAAAUUAAAUGAUUUUGAAGUGUUUGCCAACUUGAGUAACGAUCGACCUGUAAGUAAACCCUUUGGCAUAAUUUGUUUCAAGAAAAAAAAUGUGUCAGCAAAAAUAAAGUCAGUGAAAAAAUACACCAAAGAUUUCUCUGGUAUAGUUUUUCAAGCAAUCACAUUUUACUUGAAUGAAAUUUAUGUCAUAGCAGUUUAUAUUCCUCCAAAAUUGAGCAUUGUACAAGCUAAAGUAUGUUUUGAAGACAUUAUUGAUCAACAAAGUGAUAUACUAAUCAUUGGUGAUUUUAAUCAAGAUAUUAUUAAUCAAAAUGAAAAUGGUUUAAAAAAUUAUUUAAUAUCUAAAAGUUUAAGUUGCAAAUUGAGUAUUGGCGAAUCAACUACAAAAUCAAAAACUCAAAUUGAUUGGCUUUUUAGUAAUUUUAAUAAUUUAAGUUACAAUAUUUAUAAUACUGUUUACAGUCACCAUAAAUCUCUAGUGGUUAGUAUUUAUAAUAAAGGUUUUAUUCCGAAGCAGCUAAAUCAGAACGUUGAUAACAAUAAACCAUUCACAAAAGGUUUUAACGAACUAAAAUUUAAUACCAAGCAAAUCCAAACACAAAGUUCAUUAUUUGACUCUACUUGCCAAAGUGUAGAUAAUGACAUGGUAAUAGAUAUUAGUUCAGAUCAUGAAAACAAUCUCAACUUAUUUAAUAAACCACCUGCUUUAUUAAACAACGAUAUGGUGUCAUGUUAUGCAAAUAGCACCAUACAGUCAUUUUUAUGUUUGCCUGAAUUUCGCGUUUCUAUUUCAAAGCGAAAUACAGCGCUAAACAGUGCUCUAAAUGAUAUUAUGCUCACCAAAAUUAAUUCCACAUUAAAAGUUCGACAAUUGGUGUCUGGUCGAAAUGGUGAAAAUUUUGCUGUAAAUCAACAAAUGGACGCUCAAUCGUUUUGUCAAUCUUUAAUAAGAAAAUUAGAUGCAGAUGAUUUCGGCAUUUUUAUAAAAGCUAAUGUUCAUGAACUUUUAAAUUGUCAAAAUUGUAAUAUUAAUAUCAAUGAAGAUGGACAAGUAAUAUACACUCACUUUCUUUAUUUUCCUGAAAACUGUGGCAAUUUAAUUGACUUUAAUUCAAUGUUAAUGUUAAAAGACUCUGAUAGAAUGUGCCCACAGUGUGGCAAUAAUCUGAAAACACGCUCAGUGGUUACCGGCCAGAAAUAUUUGGUAGUAUGUCUUCAGAGAAUUGGCCCUCAAGGGAAUAAGAUAAAUGCUAAAUUUUAUAAUUUUGCUUCUGAAAGUGUUAUUUUAGAUGAUCAAAUAUUCAGAGUAAAAAGUGUUGUUAGGCAUCAUGGAAACACCAUUGGAUCUGGUCAUUAUACAUCUAUAGUUAAUUAUAACGAUCAGUGGUGGAAGUGUGAUGAUAAUCGCAUAAGUAGAAUAUCUAGUUUUGAUAACAGUUUAGAAGAUGUAUAUUUAAUACUAUUAGAAAAAUGUUAAAUUUUGUUAAAAUACUAGGACCAACCUAUUAAACGUAAAGAAAAUUACAAAUGGGCAAAGCAAUUUUAAAAAGAGUUUUGCAUUACCAAAAAUAAGCCAUAAGUGAUUAAUUAUUCGCUUUCACAAUGAAAAUCCCUUUUCUAAUUUCUUAUAUAUAUUGCUAAAUUGUUAUUUUGGACAAUCAAAUAGUUAGACUUUAAACAGAACUACAUAAAAAAGAACACAUUUUUAAAUGUGAAUAACUUUAUCUUUUAAAUCCCAAUGAUAGCUGUUAAAAAUAAUACUAGUAUCGAAAAAUGAGUUAAAAAAUGUAAAUAAAAUUAUUGGAAUGUAUAGACAAUUAAUUACCAUAUUAUUAUUUCAAAAUCUAUGCCUGUUUCAAGGGUAUAUUAAAAUAAAAUAGCAGUUUGGUAUUUGUUACAAUGAUUUAUUGAAAACGAGAAAUUUGUAUCGAUAAUAAACUAUGAUUGUCUUAUAGCUUUAGCUACAGCACCACUUGACAUUAAUAGCAACUUAAGUUAACAAAAAGGCUUAAACAAAAGUACUAAAACAGCUAAAAAUGCUAAAGUACCAAAAGCCCAAAAACACUAAGCUGCUAAAAAAUGUCCAAGUUAUGUUGUGCUAAAACAUUAAUCCAAUCAGGUACAAUGAAUACUAAUUUAUUUUUAUACUGUUUUGGUUGAGCAAUUACCAAAAUAACUGCAUAAAAAUAAUGUAAUAAUAACUAAGAAUUUAUUUAUUUAUUAAUGGUAAUGUAAAUAAAUAUAAACAUAAUUUAAUUUCAGAAUAGUUAACCAAAAGAUAAAGUUUUUUAAGCCUAGUCAAUUUUUGAGCCCGAAAAAUAGGCCUAUUUAGAAGUUAAUUACAAGUUAAGCAUUUACCUGAAUUACACUUACUUAAUUUAUUAUUAUUAUCUUAUAAAUGAAUAAAGUAUCAGUUUGGCAUUUUAAAUCCUAUUUAAAUUUGUAAAAAGGUAAUAAUCAUUACGUUUAAAUAAUAUAUGACCAACAAAUAGUUUUCACAUCAUAAUUGAAGUUAUCAUACUUUUCUUUCAUAAUGAUAAACUAUGAUUGUCUUACAGUUUUAGCUACAGUACCACUUGACAUUAAUAGCAACUUUGGUAAAUAAAAGGCUUAAACAAAAGUACUAAAACAGCUAAAAAUGCUAAAGUACCAAAAAGCCCGAACACACUAUAAGCUGCUAACAAAUGUCCAAGUUAUGUUGUGCUAAAAUAAUAAUCCAAUCAGGUACAUCAAAUACUAAUUUUAUUUUUGUCUGGUUGGUCAAUGUCAUUAAAGAUUUUAAUGUCUAAUAUAAAUAGACAAGUAUAAUGUUCUUAUAAUUUUGUAAUAUGUUUAAUUUGAAAUGUUAAAGAAAACAUAGUAAAAUAUAUUUUUUAAAGGGCAAGAAAAAAUUGUAGGCAAAUAUUUCUGUUUUACUAUUUUAUCACAUUUUAAGUAAUUUUUAUUAAUCUUUUAAAUGUAUCCAGUAUUAGUAUUGGUAUUUUCAAUCCUAUUUAAGUUUAUAAAAUGGAGAUGAAGUUUACAUUUAAAUUUACAUAUGACCAACAAGUACUUUCAACAUCAUAAUUAAUUGAAGUGAUCAUAAUUUGCUUUGAUAAUUAUAAACUAUGAUUGUCUUAUAGCUUUAGCUACGGUACCACUUGACAUUAAUAGCAACUUUAGUAAAUAAAAGGCUUAAACAAAAGUACUAAAACAGCUAAAAAUGCUAAAGUACCAAAAGCCCGAACACACUAUAAGCUGCUAACAAAUGUCCAAGUUAUGUUGUGCUAAAAUAAUAAUCCAAUCAGGUACAUCAAAUACUAAUUUUAUUUUUGUCUGGUUGGUCAAUGUCAUUAAAGAUUUUAAUGUCUAAUAUGAAUAGACAAGUUUAAUGAUUUUAUAAUUUUGCAAUAUAUUUAAUCUGAAAUGUUAAAGAAAACAACAAAUUACAUUAUUUCAAGAGCAAGAAAUUGUAGAAAAAUAUUUCUUUUUUUUUACUAUUUUAUUACGUCUUAACUCAUUUUUAUUAUCUUAUAAAUGUAUAAAGUAUUAGUAUAGGGAUUUUCAAUCUUAUUUUAGUUUCUAAAAUAGUAAUAACAUUUACGUUUAAAUACAUGACUGGCCAACAAGUACUUUUAACAUCAUAAUUAAAGUUAUCAUAAUUUGCUUUGAUAAUGAUAAACUAUGAUUGUCUUAUAACUUUAGCUGCAGUACCACUUGACAUUAAUAGCAACUUAAGUAAAUAAAAGGCUUAAACAAAAGUACUCAAACAGCUAAAAAUGCUAAAGUACAAAAAGCCCAAACACACUAUAAGCUGCUAAGCAAUGUUCAAGUUAUGUUGCGCUAAAACAAUAAUCCAAUCAGCUACAUUAAAUACUAAUUUUAUUUUUGGCCGGUUGGUCAAUGUUAUUAAGGAUAUUCAUGCCUAAUAUAUGAGCAUAAUUAUCUUAUAAUUUUGCAGUCUGUUUAAUUUAAAAUGUUGUUAUUCUUAUAUUAUAUUGUAUUAUCUAAGGGGCAAAAAAAAUAGAACAAAUACUUAAAAACAGAAUUUAAAAAAUAUUCUCAUAAUGUUAAUACUUGAGCAAUAAACAAAAAAAAACAAUAAUAUUAUACAUAUAAUGGUCAACAAAUUACAAGACAGUUUCAAUAAUAAUUGGCAGAAUUCAAGUAUAGUACAAAGGCUAAUACAUGAAUGAGUACCUACCUAAAUAGCUAAAAAAACGCUAAAAUAAAAGGUACUAAAAGCCUCAAAACAGUACAAAAAUUACUGGAAGUUGCCGGUUUUAUUGUUUAUACAAUUACGUGCAUAUUUAUGUAGCACUUUUUUCCAGUUGACCAAUUUUACAAUAUUGAGAUAAACUAGAAAAUAUUUGGCACUAGAGUAUUAACAAAUUGAGUAUUAUUAGUCAAGACAUGCAAAACAGUCAAGACUUAAUCGUAACUAUUAAUAAAGGAAUACUUUUGUUAUUUUUAAUAUCUCUCUAAAAAAAGAAUUAAAAUAUAUUUUUAUUUCAACAAAUAAAAAUAUAUUUUGGCAACUGUUGACUAGUUGGCCCCGCAGCAACAAUUGUCUAUUGCUUUCGAGAAAUGAAUAAUUUCUUGGAUAUGCAAUACUGAUGAGUUCAUAAUGAGGACGAAACAAUAUGUUGCUCAUAAGAUGCUAAUAAUAUGGUUUCUUUUUCUAGUGAUCCAUUUGUAUUCCAGAUUCUAUUUUAAUCGUGAUCAAUCAGCAGCCUUUAAUUUGAAGAAAACGCAUUCAACGGACUUGACAAUGACAAGUGGAUACAUCCUUUUAUGGCAAGAAGUUGGAUGGCUUAAAAUUUAAUUAUUGGUGAGGACUUUUCGUGUUUUUAAUAUUUUAUUACAUUUUUUCAUUCUAGGUCUAUAAAAAAAAAACAAGAAGUUUUAUGGUAUAAUCCAAAGCUGCAAAACUUCGACUGGAAUGAAUUGACGAAACAGUGGGCUGCCAAGGCAGUUGUGC
rnacentral:misc_RNA from 1 species